UACGUAGGGGGCAAGCGUUGUCCGGAAUCAUUGGGCGUAAAGCGCGCGUAGGCGGCCCGGUAAGUCCGUUGUGAAAGUCAAAGGCUCAACCUUUGAACGCCGAUGGAUACUGCCGGGCUAGAGUCCGGAAGAGGCGAGUGGAAUUCCUGGUGUAGCGGUGGAAUGCGCAGAUAUCAGGAGGAACACCAAUAGCGAAGGCAGCUCGCUGGGACGGUACUGACGCUGAGGCGCGAAAGCGUGGGGAGCGAACAGGA
rnacentral:rRNA from 1 species